UCUGAACAGGGAGUACUUGCAGCCAGAGGCUAAAGCCUGUUGAUCCGGAGUGAAACACUUCCUGCCUCUCCCUCUCAGAAAUGAAAUGCCCUCAAAGAUCCUGAUUACACGCCACAUCCAGAACCUCCUGACCUGAAGUUCCAACACCCCCGAUGGGCACUGGGUCUUCCUGCAAUUUCUCCACUACUGCCCACCUGUGCAAUCAGGGCAGCGUGCAGACUGUGGUGAUCAUCAUCCCAGCCCUGAACUCCCUGUCCACGCUGCUGGUCGUCAGCUGCAUCUUAUGGAAGACAUGCCGACGGCGGGCCCGCCUCACCUAUCCCAGCCCUCCAUCUCCAUGAAAGGACUCAGGGAAACCACUCCAGGACCCUGAUGGGCAUGGCAAUUUGUACAGAUGAUACAGAUCUUGGCGUAGACCAACUCGGAGCCCUGGUCUAGGCUUGGGCCGUAGCUGAUGAGCUAGUCAACCCUGUGGCUCUCCCUUAUCCAUACCACCAGAGUGAGUUUCUCCGGCACUGCUCCAACUAGGCCACCCAACGCCGACUUUGGCAGGAGGCAGGGUCAGCUCUCCUGUUGUGCUGCACAAUCAAGAUGUGGGGCCAACUCUCUCAAGUGCUGUAGCCUGUGAGGGGCUGGGCCAGGUUGCCCAUCUUCUCACCCUUGGGGCUGGCUCCCCUUCUGUGCUGUCCAGAGUCAACUCCACUGUGCUGCCUGGGCAAGGUACAACACAAGGCUUGCUCUUCCAAGUGCUGCCUCAGGUGAGAGAUGGGAGCAGCUCUCCAGAGUGGUGCAUCUAGUGAAGGGCGUGGCCAGUUCUGCACAGUCUCUGGACAUCCAUGUGUUCCCCAGCGACUGCCCCGACCAGGGACAUCCCCAUGUUCCCUAGUGGGCAUCAACACUGACCCCUGCCACUGCAGCCAUGAACCAGGCUGGACCUCACCAGGGCCCCAGGUGGUGGAGCUAGGCACCCACAACAGACUACUCUGCUCCACGCUUGAGUCUCCAGUUCCAUCUCUCUUCACAAUGCUGAAGCUGCUCCAUUCUCCAUGUGCCUUUCUCUCCCAUCUGAACACCACGUGCUCACACACUGUGGUGGCUCCCACUGCAGCCUGGCUAUGCAGCAGCAAAGGAAGUGGGACAUAAACACACAGAAGAUGACAGUGAAAGAGAACGAAACAAGUCCCAUACCAAGCAAGAAGUCACUUCGGAAGUCACCAAAGGCCCUCCAGCGAGAGGUGGGAAGGAGACUAAGAGGAACCCCAAGCAACCCCCACACCUGGAUGGCCAGGCCCCUCACGCUGCAGAGGCAGACACGGCUGGAAGGGACAGGAUUUAUGUUGCAUACUUGAACUACAGCGAGUGUAAGACUGGUCCUAUUUACAGGGCACAAACACUACAGGUGGAGCGUGGGGGUGGCGAAGCGAGCACCAGAGUCCUGGCCAGAGGGUACCAGCCUGCCGCCUUAUCCACCUCUCCGGAGGCAUCUCCUUGGCCCCGCUGGGAUUCUCUGGGAAAACAGGCCCGCUCACAUGAUGCUUGCUGGGGUGAAGACAGGGCCCACACACAAGGUGUCUGUGAUCUCCCAGCCGCAGGACAGAGGUUUGCACACACCCUCGGCGUCCUGGUCUUCUUCUGCAGGCAACAGCUGCCCUCGAAGCGCUUCCCUGAGAGCAAGAGACAAGUGGGGAUGGCACCUGGCAUGGGGACAGAGGCCCAGAUCUUCCUGGGACCCCUGCUUCUAUAUAGAGUCCAGUCUCAUUACACACAGGACUCUCACCUAAGCCCUAAGCACAGACAAAGGCCUGUGAUCCAUGUCCCCACUGUUUCUCCCCAGUGGUUCCCACCACCUAAUAAAGGAAAGGUGUUCAUAUUUA